AGCAGAGUGGUCUAGUGGGAAGAAUAUAGGCCUGGGAGUCUGAGGACCUGGGUUCUAAUCCUGGCUCUGCUA
rnacentral:tRNA from 1 species